UGAAGAUGACCAGUCUCCUUAUCUAAAAUAUAAAAGACUCUGCUCUGAGUGCAUGUGUGGCCAAUGGAAUCCCUUUUAAAAAUGAUCAAUCAGGCUGUGACUUGCUUUGCUCUGGAAGCCCCUUGAAGAGACAAGCUUACAACAAAGGUCUGAGACAUGUAAGUUAUUACCUAAAACUUGGAGUCCACUCUGAAACACAAUUCAAAUAAAUAACAAGAUGAAGCACAGAUACUGUUAUAAGCUGCUGGAAAGAUUUGAA
ensembl:lncRNA